rnacentral:rRNA from 1 species
GACAGAGGAUGCAAGCGUUAUCCGGAAUGAUUGGGCAUAAAGCGGCUGUAGGUGGCUUUUCAAGCCCGCCGUCAAAUCCCAGGGCUCAACCCUGGACAUGCGGUGGAAACUACCAAGCUAGAGUACGGUAGGGGCAGAGGGAAUUUCCGGUGGAGCGGUGAAAUGCAUUGAGAUCGGAAAGAACACCAACGGCAAAAGCACUCUGCUGGGCCGACACUGACACUGAGAGAUGAAAGCUAGGGGAGCAAAU